rnacentral:rRNA from 1 species
UACGUAGGGUGCGAGCGUUAAUCGGAAUUACUGGGCGUAAAGCGUGCGCAGGCGGUUCGCUGUGUCCGAUGUGAAAGCCCCGGGCUUAACCUGGGAACUGCGGUUGAAACUACAGGACUAGAAUCUGGCAGAGGGGGGUGGAAUUCCACGUGUAGCAGUGAAAUGCGUAGAGAUGUGGAGGAACACCGAUGGCGAAGGCAGCUCCCUGGGCUGAGAUUGACGCUCAGGCACGAAAGCGUGGGGAGCAAACAGG